rnacentral:rRNA from 1 species
UACGUAGGGUGCGAGCGUUGUCCGGAAUUAUUGGGCGUAAAGAGCUCGUAGGCGGUGUGUCGCGUCGGCCGUGAAAACCUGGGGCUCAACUCUGGGCGUGCGGUCGAUACGGGCAUCACUUGAGUUCGGCAGGGGGAGACUGGAAUUCCUGGUGUAGCGGUGAAAUGCGCAGAUAUCAGGAGGAACACCGGUGGCGAAGGCGGGUCUCUGGGCAGUAACUGACGCUGAGGAGCGAAAGCGUGGGGAGCGAACAGG